UGAAAGUCUGGGAUAAACACACAUAUAUGCUAAGUGGCCACUCGGGCUUGUCCCAGGCCACACCCCUCAUUUCUCUCACUUAUUGUAUUCCCACAUUCAAUGUCAUCCCUUGGCACUCCAGGGGAGCCACCCACUUAAAACACCUCUACUGUCAAGGCACCCUACUGAGCUAUGAUUUAUUGGAGAGGAGAUACUCCUUGCCCAGGGCAACCCAGUACUUUUACAUCCAAUUGAAAUUGUUUUUGGCCAGACAAUACCACAAAAAUG